GUGUGACUUCGGCCAUCGCUCUGGUAGUCCCGGUAGCUGACGAACUCCUGCCAAGGGCAGCGGUAGCCCUUGGAGAUGGCGGUGUGGUUGAACUUCUCUGGCGGGACGCCCUUCAGCGGCUCCGCAUAGCCUAGGGGCGCGGGGGGAAGGGAGCGCCUCCGUUCUUCCACCCUCAGCCCCCAACCCCACCUCGCCCCACCCCCAUUCCGCGGACGCGGUUGGAGGAGGGAAGAUCGGAGUUAGGGGAGAGGACGGCGGGAAUGGGAAGCCACAGUUGCUCCAGCACAGGAGACCCCUCCCCAUCCCAGGAAACACGGAGGACUGCAGUGAGGAAGCCACGAGUUCGCAGCGCGGGGAGAGAUGCCUAAAAAGAUAACACUUUUCAAGGAUCACACUGAAAGGCAGGAGCCUAAUCUGAUGGGAACAUCACAGUCCUCAGCCUGGCUUACCGUUUGACUUUAGGCUAACCAGUGGCUCUCUGUGGUCCUCAUUUUCCCCAUGAGCACAAUGGUGGCUUACUCACCGCCCGCUGGCUGGCUGCUAACUCGAAAGUGAACUUCUGCACACGGCGCUGCCUCUUCUGGAAGAGGAGGGACCCUCUGUUGUUGCGUAGUGACAGCUCCUCCAUCAUCAGGUCUUUGCCCAUAAUGGUGGAGGUAGUGAGAAAUGGUCAGAUUCUCGAUAUUUUUUAAAGUUUCUAUGGAGUGUUUGGGUGUGAAAGCCUAACUGGAGAGGGUUCAAGAGAAAAUGGACAGAAGAACAAGUUUAACCACACCAUGAGGAAGCGAUAAGCCAAAUCCAGGACGCAGGACAUUCUACAGGACAACUGGCCUGGUUUUUCAAACAAACGAGUUUCACUCUUGUUGCCCAGGCUGGAGUGCAAUGGCAUGAUCUCGGCUCACUGCAACCUCUGCCUCCCGGGUUCAAGCGAUUCUCCUGCCUCAGCCUCCCGAGUAGCUGGAAUUGCAGGCAUGCACCAUCACGCCUGGCUAAUUUUGUAUUUAUAGUAGAGAUGGGGUUUCUCCAUGUUGGUCAGGCUGGUCUCGAGCUCCCAACCUCAGGUCAUCCGCUUGCCUCAGUCUCCCAAAGUGCUGGGAUUACAGGCGUGAGCCACCUCCCCCAGCUGAGCUCAAUAUUUAAAAAAAAAAAAUGGCAGGCACAGUGGCUCACAACUAUAAUCCCAGCACUUGCAGAGGGCAAAGUGGGUGGAUUGCUUGGGCCCAGGAGUUCAAGACCAGCCUGGGCAAUAUAGCAAGACCCUGUCUCUAUUAAAAAAUAAAAAAAGAUAAAAUCUAUUUGACUGAGUAUUUCUAUUUCUAGGAAUUUAUUCUCGGGGAAAAAGUUGAAUAAAUAUGUCCAAAGAUA
rnacentral:lncRNA from 1 species